CUAGUGAGUGCCUCAUCUGCUAAUAUAAAUAUUUGAAUUAUAGGACCUGAAAUGUCCAAUAGUUUGUCUUGGGUCGCUUUCAAGCCCUGCUCAAUACCCUUACGAGGGUCUUUACCAGAUUUCGUCAAAUAGGUGACCAGCAUGGUGUCGAAUUCAGGGGUAGAGGCAACUUUGCCUGGAAUAGUAGGUCUCGGACAUUCAGCCCUUAGUUUGUUUCUUAUUUCCUUUUCGAGGGGCUUGCGAAGCCACAGUUUACAGAAAUUAGCAAUAUGGUCCGGGGGAGCCCAUUCUGCU